GACGAACGCUGGCGGCGUGCUUAACACAUGCAAGUCGAACGGAAAGGCCCUGCUUUUGUGGGGUGCUCGAGUGGCGAACGGGUGAGUAACACGUGAGUAACCUGCCCUUGACUUUGGGAUAACUUCAGGAAACUGGGGCUAAUACCGGAUAGGAGCUCCUGCUGCAUGGUGGGGGUUGGAAAGUUUCGGCGGUUGGGGAUGGACUCGCGGCUUAUCAGCUUGUUGGUGGGGUAGUGGCUUACCAAGGCUUUGACGGGUAGCCGGCCUGAGAGGGUGACCGGCCCACAUUGGACCGAGGGACCGGCCCGACUUCCUCCGGGAGGCAGAGGUGGGAAAAAUUGCACAAUGGGCGGAGGCCUGAUGAGGCAACGCGGCGUCGGGGAUACCGGCUUUGGGGUUGUAACCCGCUUCCGCCUGUACCGAGCGGUAGGUAACGGAAUGGGUAAAGAAGCACCGGCUAACUACGUG
rnacentral:rRNA from 1 species